UCUGUGUGACGUCACGGCUGGUCUGCAGGGAAGGGGAUCCUCGGCUGAGGUCCCGCCGCCGGGCGCGGUGGCGUGCGUCUGUUAUCCGGCUGCUCGGAGGCUGAGGCUGCAGGAUUGCUUGAGAAUUUAACAACUCUCCACAAGAGAUGCUGGUCAUCUUGAGCGACACACAGAAAAUGCUGCAGGAAGUCAGGCAGCAUCUAUGAAAGGGAAUAAACAAGUCAAUGUUUCCGGCUAAACCUUUCAUCAGGGCUCCAUUUCUGGUGUUCCGUAACCUCAGCCCAGGAGGAGGAGAAGAUGGCGGCGGGAUGCAGUGUGCGUGGCCGCUCUGGAAUAAUAUCUGUAUUUGUUAAGUAGGAAACCGUGCACAAUUCUGAUUUGAUGGAGACAGAUGUGAGAGCACGGAGGAACAUCUGGAGAAACUUCUGAAAUGCCUGCUUUGCUGCUGCUGCUACUGUGUGUUUCAGAAUCUCCAGAGGAGUAGGCCUCUGAGUCCUCGGCAUUGCUUGUUUUAGAUGCCGGGACGAGGUUGAAGGCGCUCAGCAGAGGAUGGCGCUCGGGAGGCUGUAUCGGAGGGGCUGGUUGGAGGCUCGAAGUUUUCGGAUGGACUCAGUCGGCUAUGUUCGGGUGCUUCCAAUGCAUCGGCAGUUGGCAGUUGUCGGUGCCUGGAGGUUUAUGGCAGGGGAGCUUCUCCCUUUUUUCCACCUGCUAUCAGGAACUAUAGGAGUUGAUCAGGACUUGAGACUUUUUUUUACCAUGCCCAUGGUCUGUUCUUUAUCAAAUUAUGGUAUUGUUUUGCACUACUGUAACUAUAUGUUAUGAUUAUGUGGUCUUCUCAGUGUUAGUCUUUGGUUUGUUCUGUUUUUGUGUGAUAUCACUCCGGAGGAACAUCGUAUCAUUUCUUAAUGCAUGCAUGCAUUUCUAAAUGACAA